GACGAACGCUGGCGGCGUGCUUAACACAUGCAAGUCGAACGGAAAGGCCCUGCUUUUGUGGGGUGCUCGAGUGGCGAACGGGUGAGUAACAAGUGAGUAACCUGCCCUUGACUUUGGGAUAACUUCAGGAAACUGGGGCUAAUACCGGAUAGGAGCUCCUGCUGCAUGGUGGGGGUUGGAAAGUUUCGGCGUUUGGGGAUGGACUCGCGGCUUAUCAGCUUGUUGGUGGGGUAGUGGCUUACCCAGGCUUUGACGGGUAGCCGGCCUGAGAGGGUGACCGGCCACAUUGGGACUAAGAUACGGCCCAGACUCCUACGGGAGGCAGUAGUGGAGAAUAUUGCACAAUGGGCGGAAGCGUGAUGCAGCAACGCCGCGUGCGGGAUGACGGCCUUCGGGUUGUAAACCGCUUUCGCCUGUGACGAAGCGUGAGUGACGGUAAUGGGUAAAGAAGCACCGGCUAACUACGUG
rnacentral:rRNA from 1 species